GAACGCAUCUUGCGCUCCUGGGUACUCCUGGGAGCAUGCCUGUUUGAGUGUCGUGUAACCUCUCGAUCUGCCCCUUUCUGGCUUCAUUGCCAGAGAGGCACGGUUUCAGAUUGGAUCGUGGCUGGAUCAUGCCGUUGCCUACGAAGGCGACAGCUCGGCCGAAAUGCAGACAAGUGACGACCGCUCGUGUCGAUCGGCUUGAACUCGACGUUGUAAUUUCUCCCUCGUUGAGCUACGAUCUUCACGCAUUCGAAGGCGCACUUCGAAAUACACUCUCUUUGAGCAAAUCUGACCUCAAAUCAGGCAGGACUACCCGCUGAACUUAAG
rnacentral:misc_RNA from 1 species